GNNNANGNNGGGGGCGGCUUACACAUGCAAGUCGAGCGCCCCGCAAGGGGAGCGGCAGACGGGUGAGUAACGCGUGGGAACGUACCAUUUGCUACGGAAUAACUCAGGGAAACUUGUGCUAAUACCGUAUGUGCCCGAAAGGGGAAAGAUUUAUCGGCAAAUGAUCGGCCCGCGUUGGAUUAGCUAGUUGGUGGGGUAAAGGCCUACCAAGGCGACGAUCCAUAGCUGGUCUGAGAGGAUGAUCAGCCACACUGGGACUGAGACACGGCCCAGACUCCUACGGGAGGCAGCAGUGGGGAAUAUUGGACAAUGGGCGCAAGCCUGAUCCAGCCAUGCCGCGUGAGUGAUGAAGGCCCUAGGGUUGUAAAGCUCUUUCACCGGUGAAGAUAAUGACGGUAACCGGAGAAGAAGCCCCGGCUAACUUCGUGCCAGCAGCCGCGGUAAUACGAAGGGGGCUAGCGUUGUUCGGAUUUACUGGGCGUAAAGCGCACGUAGGCGGGCUAAUAAGUCAGGGGUGAAAUCCCGGGGCUCAACCCCGGAACUGCCUUUGAUACUGUUAGUCUUGAGUAUGGUAGAGGUGAGUGGAAUUCCUGGUGUAGCGGUGA
rnacentral:rRNA from 1 species